rfam:Myotis davidii contig86366, whole genome shotgun sequence.
ACCCCCUGUCAAAGGGCAAGGAGACACCUGAUUGGUGGUGUUGCUCUUAUAUGAAUUAGGAGCAAAGCAGAUGUACAGUCCUUAGUUCAUUCUAGUUUGAUGUCUGUGUCGGUGGCUAGAGCUCUUGCAUGCCUAAGGCACAUAU